CCCGGGCCUUGUACCACACCGCCCGUCACGGCCACGAAAGUUGGCUCGAACCCGAAGUCGCUAACCCAACCGCCAAGGAGGGGAGGUGCCAACGGUCUGGUCGAUGAUUGGGGUG
rnacentral:rRNA from 1 species